AACCCAGGGCCACCUGCACCAGCAUAUGGUCUCACAAGGGGUCUGAGGAUCUCAUCUCGGUACCUAAUGGCAGUCAGGCUACCCCUGGCAAGCACAUGGAGGGCUGUGCGGCCCCCCCAAGGAAAUGCCACCCCACACCAUUACUGAAUCUUUAGGCGGACGGCGGCAUCUCAUCGCUAGUCUAUUUAACUCUAGCCCAGCCAAUCAGAGUGGGUGCAGCUAUCCAUGCCUUCCAGAGGCCCCUUGAAUUGCUGCCGAAAUGGAUUUCCUUGGUACUGGAUACAUUUUUCUCGGUUCCAGCUAUUUAUGUCCUUUUUAUUUUUAUUUAUGUUACUGUAUCACUUAUAUAAGUACAUUGAUUGUAUAUCCUUCAGAUCUGAUGAAGGUCAAUACCUGACCGAAACGUUAUCUACUUGGAUUGAAAUAAAUCCCA